GGAUCAGUACGCUGGUCGUGCCUUUGGCAUGUACUGGUGUCACUGAUUCCUCCCUUCUGAAGAACCGUUAUGCCAUUUAUUUGGUGUGGCGAGGAAUCAGGACUGUUACUUUGAAAAAAUUAGAGUGUUUAAAGCAGGCUCACGCUUGAAUACAUUAGCAUGGAAUAACGGAAUAGGACGUUUGAUUCUAUUUUGUUGGUUUCUAGGAUCGACGUA
rnacentral:rRNA from 1 species